UGUGCUCAGCGUGACGCAUUAAGUGCUCCGCCUGGGGAGUACGGUCGCAAGACUAAAACUGCAAAGGAAUUGACGGGGGCCCGCACAAGCGGUGGAUCAUGUGGUGUUAAUUCGAAGCAACGCGAAUAACCUUACCUGGGCUUGAAAUCCUGCGAACCUGCUAGAGAUAGCGGGGUGCCCGUUUAGGGAAUGCAGAGACAGGCGCUGCAUGGCUGUCGUCAGCUCGUGUCGUGAGAUGUUGGGUUAAGUCUCGCAACGAGCGCAACCCCUGUUGCUAGUUGCCAGCAUUAAGUUGGGCACUCUAGUGAGACAGCCUGGGUUAACCAGGAGGAAGGUGGGGAUGACGUCAAGUCCUCAUGGCCCUUAUGUCCAGGGCUACACACGUGAUACAAUGGUCGGUACAGAGGGAUGCCAACCCGCGAGGGGGAGCAAAUCUCAAAAAGCCGAUCUCAGUCCGGAUUGGAGUCUGCAACUCGACUCCAUGAAGUUGGAAUCGCUAGUAAUCGCGGAUCAGCAUGCCGCGGUGAUACGUUCCCGGGCAUUGUACACACCGCCCGUCACACCAUGGGAGUUAGCUCAACCUGAAGUCGUGACCCCAACCCUUUUGGGAGG
rnacentral:rRNA from 1 species